rnacentral:rRNA from 1 species
GUCUAGUGGCGCACGGGUGCGUAACGCGUGGGAAUCUACCCUUUGCUACGGAAUAACUCAGAGAAAUUUGUGCUAAUACCGUAUAAUGUCGCAAGACCAAAGAUUUAUCGGCAGAGGACGAGCCCGCGUAAGAUUAGCUUGUUGGUGAGGUAAAGGCUCACCAAGGCGACGAUCUUUAGCUGGUCUGAGAGGAUGAUCAGCCACACUGGGACUGAGACACGGCCCAGACUCCUACGGGAGGCAGCAGUGGGGAAUAUUGGACAAUGGGCGAAAGCCUGAUCCAGCAAUGCCGCGUGAGUGAUGAAGGCCUUAGGGUUGUAAAGCUCUUUUACCAGGGAUGAUAAUGACAGUACCUGGAGAAUAAGCUCCGGCUAACUCCGUGCCAGCAGCCGCGGUAAUACGGAGGGAGCUAGCGUUGUUCGGAAUUACUGGGCGUAAAGCGUGCGUAGGCGGUUAUUCAAGUCAGAGGUGAAAGCCUGGAGCUCAACUCCAGAACUGCCUUUGAAA